GGCACAACAGACCCUAGCCAGGGUAUCCAGUAGGAGCAUGGCUCCUGGGUAUCCAGGUGGAGCUCUACCACGAGGGCAAACUAAUGAGCCUAGAAACGAGUUGGUCUCCAUUGCAUAAUCCAUAGCUGACACAGCUGAAGUUCUUGGGCCACGUCAAUCAGGGGAAAACAGAGAACAAUGGGCAUGUGAGCAAGUCUGGCCUCCUCGGCAGAAAUGCUUAAAAGCCUGCUCCAGAAACGGACCAAUAAAAAGCCUUGUUUCUUACUUUAUAUCAGAUGCUUGCUGAUUUCUUACCCCCGAAAAGCCUUUCAGAAAGAG